rnacentral:rRNA from 1 species
GAUGAACGCUGGCGGCGUGCCUAAUACAUGCAAGUCGAGCGAACGGACGAGAAGCUUGCUUCUCUGAUGUUAGCGGCGGACGGGUGAGUAACACGUGGAUAACCUACCUAUAAGACUGGGAUAACUUCGGGAAACCGGAGCUAAUACCGGAUAAUAUUUUGAACCACAUGAUUCAAAAGUGAAAGACGCUCUUGCUGUCACUUAUAGAUGGAUCCGCGCUGCAUUAGCUAGUUGGUAAGGUAACGGCUUACCAAGGAAACGAUGCAUAGCCGACCUGAGAGGGUGAUCGGCCACACUGGAACUGAGACACGGUCCAGACUCCUACGGGAGGCAGCAGUAGGGAAUCUUCCGCAAAGGGCGAAAGCCUGACGGAGCAACGCCGCGUGAGUGAUGAAGGUCUUCGGAUCGUAAAACUCUGUUAUUAGGGAAGAACAUAUGUGUAAGUAACUGUGCACAUCUUGACGGUACCUAAUCAGAAAGCCACGGCUAACUACGUG